ACCAACGUGGCAUAGCGGUUUAAGUGUUGGACUAUAUGACUCCGGAGACCAGGGUUCAAUUCCCAGCUUGGCC